ACACACACAAUCCCUGAGCAAUUGUGGAGGGGAGAAAUACACUCAGGGAACAUCAAUUCAAGGAGCUACAUGAAAUGCUGUUACAGUGACUGAGAACAUUUCUCAUGUGAAUUCUAGUGGAGACCCUUGUGUGCCUCUAUAUUGACAGUACCUUACAUGAUUCAUGACAGCUCAGCUCACUCGGUUUAUCUUUCCUCCAACAGGUUUAGUGAGUCACAGCUCUUUAUCUUUCCUCCAACAGGUUUAGUGAGUCAUAGCUCUUUAUCUUUCCUCCUUCAGGUUUAGUGAGUCACAGCUCUAUCUUUCCUCCAACAGGUUUAGUGAGUCACAGCUCUUUAUCUUUCCUCAUUCAGGUUUAGUGAGUCACGGCUCUUUAUCUUUCCUCCAACAGGUUUAGUGAGUCACAGCUCUUUAUCUUUCCUCCAACAGGUUUAGUGAGUCACAGCUCUAUCUUUCCUCAUUCAGGUUUAGUGAGUCACAGCUCUUUAUCUUUCCUCAUUCAGGUUUAGUGAGUCACAGCUCUUUAUCUUUCCUCAUUCAGGUUUAGUGAGUCACAGCUCUUUAUCUUUCCUCAUUCAGGUUUAGUGAGUCACAGCUCUUUAUCUUUCCUCAUUCAGGUUUAGUGAGUCACAGCUCUUUAUCUUUCCUCAUUCAGGUUUAGUGAGUCACAGCUCUUUAUCUUUCCUCAUUCAGGUUUAGUGAGUCACAGCUCUUUAUCUUUCCUCCAACAGGUUUAGUGAGUCACAGCUCUUUAUCUUUCCUCCAACAGGUUUAGUGAGUCACAGCUCUUUAUCUUUCCUCCAACAGGUUUAGUGAGUCACAGCUCUUUAUCUUUCCUCAUUCAGGUGUAGUGAGUCACAGCUCUUUAUUUUUCCUCAUUCAGGUUUAGUGAGUCACAGCUCUUUAUUUUUCCUCAUUCAGGUUUAGUGAGUCACAGCUCUUUAUCUUUCCUCAUUCAGGUUUAGUGAGUCACAGCUCUUUAUCUUUCCUCAUUCAGGUUUAGUGAGUCACAGCUCUUUAUCUUUCCUCAUUCAGGUUUAGUGAGUCACAGCUCUUUAUCUUUCCUCCAACAGGUUUAGUGAGUCACAGCUCUAUCUUUCCUCAUUCAGGUUUAGUGAGUCACAGCUCUUUAUCUUUCCUCAUUCAGGUUUAGUGAGUCACAGCUCUUUAUCUUUCCUCAUUCAGGUUUAGUGAGUCACAGCUCUUUAUCUUUCCUCCAACAGGUUUAGUGAGUCACAGCUCUUUAUCUUUCCUCCAACAGGUUUAGUGAGUCACAGCUCUUUAAUCUUUCCUCCAACAGGUUUAGUGAGUCACAGCUCUUUAUCUUUCCUCAUUCAGGUUUAGUGAGUCACAGCUCUUUAUCUUUCCUCAUUCAGGUUUAGUGAGUCACAGCUCUUUAUCCUUCCUCCAACAGGUUUAGAUAGUCAAAGCUCUUUAUCUUUCCUCUGACAGGUUUAGUGAGUCACAGCUCUUUAUCUUUCCUCCAACAGGUUUAGUGAGUCACAGCUCUUUAUCUUUCCUCCAACAGGUUUAGUGAGUCACAGCUCUUUAAUCUUUCCUCCAACAGGUUUAGUGAGUCACAGCUCUUUAUCUUUCCUCAUUCAGGUUUAGUGAGUCACAGCUCUUUAUCUUUCCUCAUUCAGGUUUAGUGAGUCACAGCUCUUUAUCUUUCCUCAUUCAGGUUUAGUGAGUCACAGCUCUUUAUCUUUCCUCCAACAGGUUUAGUGAGUCACAGCUCUUUAUCUUUCCUCCAACAGGUUUAGUGAGUCACAGCUCUUUAAUCUUUCCUCCAACAGGUUUAGUGAGUCACAGCUCUUUAUCUUUCCUCAUUCAGGUUUAGUGAGUCACAGCUCUUUAUCUUUCCUCAUUCAGGUUUAGUGAGUCACAGCUCUUUAUCUUUCCUCAUUCAGGUUUAGUGAGUCACAGCUCUUUAUCUUUCCUCUGACAGGUUUAGUGAGUCACAGCUCUUUAUCUUUCCUCCAACAGGUUUAGUGAGUCACAGCUCUUUAUCUUUCCUCCAACAGGUUUAGUGAGUCACAGCUCUUUAAUCUUUCCUCCAACAGGUUUAGUGAGUCACAGCUCUUUAUCUUUCCUCAUUCAGGUUUAGUGAGUCACAGCUCUUUAUCUUUCCGCAUUCAGGUUUAGUGAGUCACAGCUCUUUAUCCUUCCUCCAACAGGUUUAGAUAGUCAAAGCUCUUUAUCUUUCCUCAUUCAGGUUUAGUGAGUCACAGCUCUUUAUCUUUCCUCAUUCAGGUUUAGUGAGUCACAGCUCUUUAUCUUUCCUCCAACAGGUUUAGUGAGUCACAGCUCUUUAUCUUUCCUCCUUCAGGUUUAGUGAGUCACAGCUCUUGCUAUCUUUCCUCCUUCAGGUUUAGUGAGUCACAGCUCUUUAUCUUUCCUCCUUCAGGUUUAGUGAGUCACAGCUCUUUAUCUUAACCUCAUUCAGGUUUAGUGAGUCACAGCUCUUUAUCUUUCCUCCAACAAGUUUAGUGAGUCACAGCUCUUUAUCUUUCCUCCUUCAGGUUUAGUGAGUCACAGCUCUUUAUCUUAACCUCAUUCAGGUUUAGUGAGUCACAGCUCUUUAUCUUUCCUCCAACAAGUUUAGUGAGUCACAGCUCUUUAUU